GCAUGACCUGAGCCAAAGUCAGACACUCAACCAACUGAGCCACCUAGGCGCCCCUUGAUGUGCGUUUUGAUUCACCUAAGGAUAAAUAUGGGGACUUCUGAUGUCUAAUUGACUUUUUAACUCUUGAAAUUCAUCUUUCUCUUCCCUGUUUGGAGUCUAAGUGACAAUGUGGAGGGAGUUGCCAUCUCUUAAGACAUCAGGAGGAGGAACACAUCACCAGAGUAGAGGGAAUGAAAUUAGUGUAAUUUUACAUAGAAAUGAUUAGGAAACAAGUGAUGAUAUGAGCCUGAGGUUUGGAGUGAGUACUUUGCCAUGACCUGGCUCUUCGUGAAAUGUGAAGAUGAGAAAACUCUCUAUCUACAAGCCCAUCAAGAAGCCUGAGCUUAGAGACAAAGCCAGAUAUUGCCAGGCAGGGUGUGUGUCACAAGAGAGGUUUAAACCAUGGUUCUGAGUCUGAGGUGGAGGAAGCCGUUCAUGCCAGGGGAGAAUGAGUGGAGAUGAGAUUUUUGCAAAUGCGGGUAAUGUAUUCUGCACAGGCUCCAUAGACUGUGGUGAUCCUGUGGCGCUGUCUGUUGAGAGCCAGGGUGGCUGCCUGACACUUAACGAGCCCUCAAAGGCUGGUUGUUCAUCCCUUUGAAUGCAGUGGCGGUGGUGGGGAGAAGAGUGAUCUCAGGACAUGAGAGCUCUCACACUGGGCCAACAAAAGAGAAGUUUGCACUUUAUGGUCAGAUGACAGAAUCAGUCCCUGUUAGAGGAGUCUGUUCUAGAGCUUACAUGUGUUGCCUGUAAUUGGGUCCUUCGUGUGUGUUGAAUAAUAUUCCUUUAAGGUUGGAGGCUAACAUUCUCACGUUGGGAUGAAAAAAGUUUGUCUUCUAGGAAUUGCCAUUAAUCCACAUCCUCCAGCCACUAAGUGUAAAGCUGAGAUGGUACCCGUAUGUUUGAUUCCAAAGACCUUGUCCUCCAGGGCCCCCGGCCUAGGGUUCACGAAGGGCAACCUGUGAGCAGCAGGAAGUCAUCCAACGCCUUCGAGUAGUCAGUCAGUCAGCAGCAGUUUGAGCUUUCCUUGUGUGGAAUUCCAAAUAGCACCUGGGAGUGUGAGUGGCUCAAAUCGAGACUAAAGGAUGGUUUUGUUUGUUCCAUUAUUUGCAGGGACCUAUUUAUGUACCUUAAUAAUUGGAGGAGAGAAAUGUAAGUUGAUAGGAUUUGAUUUUUGUUUCAUCUCUGGUGGUGACAUAAGUAUUUGAAGUGAUUGGAUUUUCUAAGAAGGGUGCUUCCAGAUGGGAGAGAAAUGAGAAGAUAUUUUAUUGUGUUUCUCCAUUUUGGACAAUAUUUUAAAUAGGAAUCUCAUUGAAAUAGGGUUUUCUUAGGUUUAACAUGCUGCUAAAACUUGAUUUCUUCAGGCACAACGGGAAAGCUAAAAUGUUAGUUACACCCACCUGUCAGAUCAUGUGUGCUGCUAAUACACUGGGAUUAUUUGAUGUCACUGGUUUGGUAACAGCCUUAGAACAUGUUUUGUCUCCUUUUAGUUAGUUUACAGUGAAUAAUUGAGAAGAUCCAUACUUUUAAGAAAGAAAACAGAGAACUUCAUUGCUGAAAAAAUAUCCAUUUGGGAACAGAAGAAAAUAAAAAGGCCCUGGAAGACAAGUGUAAUGCAUUGAGGUCUGUGAAAGCAACCAAAGAAGCAAAAGUCAAACAGCUGAAGGACAAAGCAGGCAUCCUUGAAGAAUUCUAUGAAGAAAGAAAAGUGGCUAUAGAAGACUAAAAUGUUCAGGAAGCUGAAAAUGACACAGUGUGAACUGGCGGCAAA